GGGGACCUGGACCUGGAGUGAUCGCGAGAAUUGAAUGACUGAGCUCUUCCAAUCAGGAGGCUGGAACGGUCGUGAUGUCACUGGGAACGGGUGUUGCCGAGUGGAAUUGGGGAGACGGCGACUUUAAAAGAAUGCGCGGUGCAACCCCUUCUAAGCCAGGGGCGAACUCAGCGGUUUGGAACUCUGUCUGUUUCAUUCGCUUUAGGGCAGUCUAGACCUCGAGCACCUGGGAAGCAUCUUUGCUUCAAUCCUGACGUUCCACUCUUCUCCCACACAUUUUACCCAGCACAGAGACAGGACGAACUGCAUCCGGGAUGCGGAAACCAGCGAUUGUAGAGCCUGGGAGAUGGUGUCGGGAGAGGGGGGUAGUGAGAGCCGAAGCCACAAUACUUUUGACUGCUUGUCUGGACUAUUCUUGGGGUGAGCACAUAACAACUGAAUGGUUCUUUAAAAUUAUUUAAUCUCUAAAGUUUCCCAAGAGAAGGAAAAAGAAGAAGAGGAAAGGAAAGAAGAAAGGAAAGGAAAGGAAAGGAAAGGGAAACAUGAGGGAGCCACCUUCAGACAAAUGUGAAACUGUUCCUGUAAAAAAGCUGAUUAUGAUCCCUCUGUGAGGAGGGGGAAGAAAGUUUAGAUAGAGAAGAAUAAAUGUUACCUAUAUACACACAAAAGAGAGUGAUAUGUAGUUGAUUUGGAUGUAACUUGACUCCUUGACAACUCUAUCGAGCCAUAAAUUAAAACGUGAGGUCUCAUUCAUUCCUGAAGCACAAAAAAUAAAGAAGGUGUCUCUAAGCUUAAACAAAAUUUUCUCUCUUUUAGACAAACAAGUCAAUCUCCUUAAGAAGCUUUCUCUCUUUUUUUGUUCUGAGGUACUUCUCAAAUGAACAACCUCAUUCGUGUCAAAAUUUCCCCAAAUGGGCCACCGCAUUCCCAUUGUCCCUGGUGAAAUUGUGCCAGUUAGAAAGUUAAGGGUGCACGUUAGUGUAUAAGGAGAAAACAUGAAGGCAACAGGUGUCUCUUGGAAGACAUGUGGUUUCAUGUUGAGAAAGCCCCCCAAAGAUGGAACGGUCUGUAAGAAUAAAACCUGGUUAGCUUUGUGUCUCCGGAACCGGGCCAAAGCCCAAUUCUUGCUAAUCCAGAGCUGACCAGAAUUUUCCGAUUUGGUGCAGACAAAAUUAAACAGCGCACAUCUGUGACUACACUAAAAAUCAUCGAAUUGUACACUUUAAAUAAGUCAAUUGUAUAGUAUGUGAAGCAUAUCUCAAGAAAGCUGCUAUGAAAAAAGUCUUCCAAAGGACUGUUAUAUUUGGAAAGCACAAAAACAUUGAAACGGUUAUGUUGUUUUUAUACUAGGGGGAAACUGGAAAGAAUACAAUUGUAUGUUAACAAGAGAAUAGUUAAAUACAUUAGGGUAAAAUUGUAUGGUGGAAUAUUAGCUAGUCAUUAAAAAUGUUUUAAAGUAAUACUUAACGACAAAGAAAAGGCUCACAGUAGAGUCUUAGUGUGAGAGCAGGAUAAAAAGUGUGCAUUCAACAUAAUUUUACAAGGAAAUCUCAUUAAGGGAAAACAGCAUAUAGAAAUAAACCCUGAAUGGAAAGACAACAGCAUAAUAGUGUUUAUGAAUGAUGAACUGUGGGUAAUUUAAACUUUUUUCGUUGUUCUGUCUCUAUCGUUUCCAGUGAAAAUGAAUUUUUAUUGCUUUUAUAAUCGGGAAACAAAAUGUUGUAAAACAAAAAUGGCUAUGGGGAACUAAAACAAGGUUUUUAUAUUGAUUUGAGUGUACAACAGGGUAACAUAGCACUAAAGUUCCAAGUACAGGGUCACCAUAUGAAUUUGGUUAAGUGAAGGAAGAGACUAUUGAAAACAAGGAUCCAAGUAAUUACUUUUUCCUUCCAAUUGUUCGAAAUACUGCUGCCAAAUCAUCUCAGAUUACUCCAGCUAGGCUCAGAGCAAACCCACCUACCUCUUGAGUUCAACACAACAUUGACCCUCUUCUUUCCCUACAUACAGCCCUCUCAUUUGUACAUUUCCUUACUUCAUCUCCCCACUUCUCCUCACUUCAACUCGGGAUUUUCCUGCUAUGUAUCGGCUAUCCUUCAAAUAAAUGCUUCAUGUAAGUUUACAAUA